GGGUGCGAGCGUUGUCCGGAAUUAUUGGGCGUAAAGAGCUCGUAGGCGGUGUGUCGCGUCGGCCGUGAAAACUUGGGGCUUAACUCUGAGCGUGCGGUCGAUACGGGCAUCACUUGAGUUCGGCAGGGGAGACUGGAAUUCCUGGUGUAGCGGUGAAAUGCGCAGUUAUCAGGAGGAACACCGGUGGCGAAGGCGGGUCUCUGGGCCGAUACUGACGCUGAGGAGCGAAAGCAUGGGGAGCGAACAGG
rnacentral:rRNA from 1 species